GACGAACGCUGGCGGCGUGCUUAACACAUGCAAGUCGAACGGAAAGGCCCUGCUUUUGUGGGGUGCUCGAGUGGCGAACGGGUGAGUAACACGUGAGUAACCUGCCCUUGACUUUGGGAUAACUUCAGGAAACUGGGGCUAAUACCGGAUAGGAGCUCCUGCUGCAUGGUGGGGGUUGGAAAGUUUCGGCGGUUGGGGAUGGACUCGCGGCUUAUCAGCUUGUUGGUGGGGUAGUGGCUUACCAAGGCUUUGACGGGUAGCCGGCCUGAGAGGGUGACCGGGCCACAUUGGACCUGGGAAACGGCCCGGACUCCACCGGAGGCAGCAGUGGGGAAUAUUGCACAAUGGGCGGAAGCCUGAUGCAGCAACGCCGCGUGCGGGAUGACGGCCUUCGGGUUGUAAACCGCUUUCGCCUGUGACGAAGCGUGAGUGACGGUAAUGGGUAAAGAAGCACCGGCUAACUACGUG
rnacentral:rRNA from 1 species